AUGCCCGAAGUGUUACGGAAGCACGCCGGUCUCCAAAACCGGAAGCCCAGGUUCGACUCCUGGCGGGUGUG
rnacentral:tRNA from 1 species